GAUGUGCUCAACUGCAACACUUGUGCUUCUUGUGUCCUGCUUCGGCGCAGCGUUAAGUAGACCUUACUGGAACUCGUAUUCUAGUUAUCCUAGUUAUCCUAGUUAUCCUAGUUAUCCAGGUUCCAAUUAUGGACCGUGGGGCGGCUGGUACGGGAAUAACGUCGAUUCGCAAGGUAAUUACGUGAGCGGGCUUUGGAAUCACGUUGGAUCCCAAAAGAAUAAUGUUGGCGGCGGUGGAUGGAAUAACGUGGGCUCGCAAUGGAACGGCGUGGACGGGUUAGGCAAUUACGUGGGCUCGCAAUGGAAUUCCGUGAACUAAGUACAGAUGAAAUGGAACGAAAUAAGAUCAACACA